GACGAACGCUGGCGGCGUGCCUAAUACAUGCAAGUAGAACGCUGAAGAGAGGAGCUUGCUCUUCUUGGAUGAGUUGCGAACGGGUGAGUAACGCGUAGGUAACCUGCCUUGUAGCGGGGGAUAACUAUUGGAAACGAUAGCUAAUACCGCAUAACAAUGGAUGACACAUGUCAUUUAUUUGAAAGGGGCAAUUGCUCCACUACAAGAUGGACCUGCGUUGUAUUAGCUAGUAGGUGAGGUAACGGCUCACCUAGGCGACGAUACAUAGCCGACCUGAGAGGGUGAUCGGCCACACUGGGACUGAGACACGGCCCAGACUCCUACGGGAGGCAGCAGUAGGGAAUCUUCGGCAAUGGGGGCAACCCUGACCGAGCAACGCCGCGUGAGUGAAGAAGGUUUUCGGAUCGUAAAGCUCUGUUGUAAGUCAAGAACGAGUGUGAGAGUGGAAAGUUCACACUGUGACGGUAGCUUACCAGAAAGGGCGGCUA
rnacentral:rRNA from 1 species